UGCUUAUGAUGAGUAAAAUGAAUAAGAGUAGUGGACAGGAGUGAUUUCUGAGAACUUAUUUUCUGAGGCA
ensembl:snoRNA